rnacentral:rRNA from 1 species
GCUUGUCUCAAAGAUUAAGCCAUGCAUGUCUAAGUAUAAGCCUUUGUACGGCGAAACUGCGAAUGGCUCAUUAAAACAGUUAUAGUUUAUUCGAUAAUCAAUUGCUACAUGGAUAACUGUAGUAAUUCUAGAGCUAAUACAUGCGUCAGAACCCAACUUUACGGAAGGGUCGUGUUUAUUAGAUACAAAACCAACAUCUCGUUGGUGAUUCAUAAUAACCAAGCGAAUCGUCGGUUUACCGACGAUAGAUCGUUCAAGUUUCUGCCCUAUCAACUGUCGACUGUGAUAUAGACGCUCACAGUGGUUUUGACGGGUAACGGGGAAUCAGGGUUCGAUUCCGGAGAGGGAGCCUUAAAAACGGCUACCACAUCCAAGGAAGGCAGCAGG